AAGCUGCCUGAUGGAGGGGGAUAACUACUGGAAACGGUGGCUAAUACCGCAUAACGUCGCAAGACCAAAGAGGGGGACCUUCGGGCCUCUUGCCAUCAGAUGUGCCCAGAUGGGAUUAGCUUGUUGGUGAGGUAACGGCUCACCAAGGCGACGAUCCCUAGCUGGUCUGAGAGGAUGACCAGCCACACUGGAACUGAGACACGGUCCAGACUCCUACGGGAGGCAGCAGUGGGGAAUAUUGCACAAUGGGCGCAAGCCUGAUGCAGCCAUGCCGCGUGUAUGAAGAAGGCCUUCGGGUUGUAAAGUACUUUCAGCGGGGAGGAAGGUGUUGUGGUUAAUAACCGCAGCAAUUGACGUUACCCGCAGAAGAAGCACCGGCUAACUCCGUGCCAGCAGCCGCGGUAAUACGGAGGGUGCAAGCGUUAAUCGGAAUUACUGGGCGUAAAGCGCACGCAGGCGGUCUGUCAAGUCGGAUGUGAAAUCCCCGGGCUCAACCUGGGAACUGCAUUCGAAACUGGCAGGCUUGAGUCUUGUAGAGGGGGGUAGAAUUCCAGGUGUAGCGGUGAAAUGCGUAGAGAUCUGGAGGAAUACCGGUGGCGAAGGCGGCCCCCUGGACAAAGACUGACGCUCAGGUGCGAAAGCGUGGGGAGCAAACAGGAUUAGAUACCCUGGUAGUCCACGCCGUAAACGAUGUCUACUUGGAGGUUGUGCCCUUGAGGCGUGGCUUCCGGAGCUAACGCGUUAAGUAGACCGCCUGGGGAGUACGGCCGCAAGGUUAAAACUCAAAUGAAUUGACGGGGGCCCGCACAAGCGGUGGAGCAUGUGGUUUAAUUCGAUGCAACGCGAAGAACCUUACCUGGUCUUGACAUCCACGGAAGUUUUCAGAGAUGAGAAUGUGCCUUCGGGAACCGUGAGACAGGUGCUGCAUGGCUGUCGUCAGCUCGUGUUGUGAAAUGUUGGGUUAAGUCCCGCAACGAGCGCAACCCUUAUCCUUUGUUGCCAGCGGUCCGGCCGGGAACUCAAAGGAGACUGCCAGUGAUAAACUGGAGGAAGGUGGGGAUGACGUCAAGUCAUCAUGGCCCUUACGACCAGGGCUACACACGUGCUACAAUGGCGCAUACAAAGAGAAGCGACCUCGCGAGAGCAAGCGGACCUCAUAAAGUGCGUCGUAGUCCGGAUUGGAGUCUGCAACUCGACUCCAUGAAGUCGGAAUCGCUAGUAAUCGUGGAUCAGAAUGCCACGGUGAAUACGUUCCCGGGCCUUGUACACACCGCCCGUCACACCAUGGGAGUGGGUUGCAAAAGAAGUAGGUAGCUUAACCUUCGGGAGGGCGCUUACCACUUUGUGAUUCAUGACUGGGGUGAAGUCGUAACAAGGUAACCGUAGGGGAACCUGCGGUUGGAUCACCUCCUUACCUUAAAGAAGC
rnacentral:rRNA from 1 species